CUUUCCUAGGGAGCCAAGCUGGGUGCCGUUGGGGCCUGGCUGGGCCCGGGUGUUGGGCGUGACCAGAAGGUGGCUGCAGGAGCCUCUAGCAAGAUGGGGCAGAGGCUGGGGGCCCAGGACCCAGAUGCCAACGGACCGAGGUUCCAGGCUACUUAGCUCCUUACUCCCUGGCGAGAGCAGGGCCAGCUGUAAAGUCAAGUGCAACCAAGGGGCUUCCAGGAGCCCACAACCCCCCUGCAUGGAGGCUCAAGGACCUGUUACAGGACGCCAGACGGAACACCUUGAUGGCAGCGCGCGAAUCCGUGGGCUGGAGGCGGGGAGGGGGGGGGGCGUGGCAGUCCAGGGCUCUGCUCUUCUGCUUUCACAUCCCCCCCCCCCCAGGGCCGGUCCCGACGUUUAGAGACCCCAGUGCAAUGAGAAGGGUGUGGUGCCACCUCCCCCCCCACCCCCCCCCCCCCACCCCCACCCCCACCGUGUAAGUCCAAAUAAAAGCGAUACCAAACCAGGAAAGGAGCGCA
rnacentral:lncRNA from 1 species